GAUGAACGCUGGCGGCGUGCCUAACACAUGCAAGUCGAACGAUGAAACCGCCUCCGGGCGGACAUGAAGUGGCGAACGGGUGAGUAACACGUGACCGACCUGCCCCCCGCCCAGGGCCAGCCCCCCGAAAGGGGGACUAAUACCCGGUACUCCGGAAGCGGCGCAUGCCGCCCCCGGGAAAGCCCUGGCGGCGGGGGAUGGGGUCGCGGCCCAUCAGGUAGACGGCGGGGCAGAGGCCCACCGUGCCGACGACGGGUGGCCGGGUUGAGAGACCGACCGGCCACAUUGGGACUGAGAUACGGCCCAGACUCCUACGGGAGGCAGCAGUGGGGAAUUUUGCGCAAUGGGGGCAACCCUGACGCAGCAACGCCGCGUGCGGGACGAAGGCGUCCGCGUCGUAAACCGCUUUCAGCGGGGAACACUUUUCGAGGGUACCCGCAGAAGAAGCCCCGGCUAAAUACGUGCCAGCCGCCGCAGUAA
rnacentral:rRNA from 1 species